GGGGAACCCGGCAAACUGGGGCCAGACGGGCUGCAGGGGAAGAUAGGAGAGACUGGGGAGAUGGGAUCACGUGGCUUCCCAGGUAUCCAAGGACCUUCCGGACCUCCAGGAGCGAAAGGGGCUCCAGGCGACCCGGGACCACAAGGACCACAGGGGCCACCUGGACCUUUGGGAGAAACUGGGCAUAAGGGACCACCUGGCUCAAUGGGACAGCCUGGCCUUGCAGGUGAACCUGGCAUGAAGGGUGAUCCUGGGCAG